GACGUAGGGCGCGAGCGUUGUCCGGAUUUAUUGGGCGUAAAGAGCUCGUAGGCGGCUUGUCGCGUCGUCCGUGAAAACUUGGGGCUCAACCCCAAGCUUGCGGUCGAUACGGGCAGGCUAGAGUUCGGUAGGGGAGACUGGAAUUCCUGGUGUAGCGGUGAAAUGCGCAGAUAUCAGGAGGAACACCGGUGGCGAAGGCGGGUCUCUGGGCCGAUACUGACGCUGAGGAGCGAAAGCAUGGGGAGCGAACAGG
rnacentral:rRNA from 1 species